rnacentral:rRNA from 1 species
UACGGGGGGGGCAAGCGUUGUUCGGAAUUACUGGGCGUAAAGAGCGCGCAGGCGGUCGUUCAAGUCGAGUGUGAAAGCCCCCGGCUCAACUGGGGAGGGUCACUUGAUACUGAUCGACUCGAAGGCAGGAGAGGGAAGCGGAAUUCCCGGUGUAGUGGUGAAAUGCGUAGAUAUCGGGAGGAACACCAGUGGCGAAGGCGGCUUCCUGGCCUGUUCUUGACGCUGAGGCGCGAAAGCUAGGGGAGCAAACGGG